CAGUAGCCGCGGUAAUACGGAGGAUCCAAGCGUUAUCCGGAUUUAUUGGGUUUAAAGGGUGCGUAGGUGGCCUGUUAAGUCAGGGGUGAAAGACGGUAGCUCAACUAUCGCAGUGCCCUUGAUACUGAUGGGCUUGAAUGAACUAGAGGUAGGCGGAAUGUGACAAGUAGCGGUGAAAUGCAUAGAUAUGUCACAGAACACCAAUUGCGAAGGCAGCUUACUAUGGUUUUAUUGACACUGAGGCACGAAAGCGUGGGGAUCAAACAGGAUUAGAUACCCCAGUAGUCCCUGUCUCUUAUAA
rnacentral:rRNA from 1 species